AGAGUUUGAUCAUGGCUCAGAUUGAACGCUGGCGGCAGGCUUAACACAUGCAAGUCGAGCGGAAACGAUGAAAAGCUUGCUUUUCAGGCGUCGAGCGGCGGACGGGUGAGUAAUGCUUGGGAAUAUGCCUUUAGGUGGGGGACAACAGUUGGAAACGACUGCUAAUACCGCAUAACGUGCUUUUUGUGGUGAAAAGUACCAAAGGGGGGGCUCUUCGGACCUCUUGCCUAAAGAUUAGCCCAAGUGAGAUUAGCUAGUUGGUGAGGUAAUGGCUCACCAAGACUAUGACGCCUAACUGGUUUGAGAGGAUGAUCAGUCACACUGGAACUGAGACACGGUCCAGACUCCUACGGGAGGCAGCAGUGGGGAAUAUUGCACAAUGGACGAAAGUCUGAUGCAGCAACGCCGCGUGGAGGAUGACACAUUUCGGUGCGUAAACUCCUUUUAUAUAGGAAGAUAAUGACGGUACUAUAUGAAUAAGCACCGGCUAACUACGUGCCAGCAGCCGCGGUAAUACGUAUGUCGCAAGCGUUAUCCGGAAUUAUUGGGCGUAAAGCGAGUCUAGGCGGCUUGUUAAGUCAGAUGUGAAAAUGCGGGGCUCAACUCCGUAUUGCGUUUGAAACUGGCAGGCUAGAGUACUGGAGAGGUGGGCGGAACUACAAGUGUAGAGGUGAAAUUCGUAGAUAUUUGUAGGAAUGCCGAUAGUGAAGACAGCUCACUGGACAGAUACUGACGCUAAAGCUCGAAAGCGUGGGGAGCGAACAGGAUUAGAUACCCUGGUAGUCCACGCCGUAAACGAUGUCAACUAGCCGUUUGUGUCCUUGAGACGUGAGUGGCGCAGCUAACGCACUAAGUUGACCGCCUGGGGAGUACGGCCGCAAGGUUAAAACUCAAAUGAAUUGACGGGGGCCCGCACAAGCGGUGGAGCAUGUGGUUUAAUUCGAUGCAACGCGAAGAACCUUACCUGGACUUGACAUAGAAAGAAUAACGCAGAGAUGUGAUAGUGCUAGCUUGCUAGAACUUUCAUACAGGUGCUGCACGGCUGUCGUCAGCUCGUGUCGUGAGAUGUUGGGUUAAGUCCCGCAACGAGCGCAACCCUUAUCCUUAUUUGCCAGCACGUAAUGGUGGGAACUCUAAGGAGACUGCCGGUGAUAAACCGGAGGAAGGUGGGGACGACGUCAAGUCAUCAUGGCCCUUACGGGAUGGGCUACACACGUGCUACAAUGGCAGGUACAGAGGGCAGCAAUACCGCGAGGUGGAGCGAAUCCCACAAAGCUUGUCGUAGUCCGGAUUGGAGUCUGCAACUCGACUCCAUGAAGUCGGAAUCGCUAGUAAUCGUAGAUCAGAAUGCUACGGUGAAUACGUUCCCGGGCCUUGUACACACCGCCCGUCACACCAUGGGAGUGGGCUGCACCAGAAGUCAUUAGCUUAACCUUCGGGAGGGCGAUGACCACGGUGUGGUUCAUGACUGGGGUGAAGUCGUAACAAGGUAACCCUAGGGGAACCUGGGGUUG
rnacentral:rRNA from 1 species